rnacentral:rRNA from 1 species
GACGAACGCUGGCGGCGUGCCUAAUACAUGCCAGUUGAGCGCUGAAGGUUGGUACUUGUACCGACUGGAUGAGCAGCGAACGGGUGAGUAACGCGUGGGGAAUCUGCCUUUGAGCGGGGGAUAACAUUUGGAAACGAAUGCUAAUACCGCAUAAAAACUUUAAACACAAGUUUUAAGUUUGAAAGAUGCAAUUGCAUCACUCAAAGAUGAUCCCGCGUUGUAUUAGCUAGUUGGUGAGGUAAAGGCUCACCAAGGCGAUGAUACAUAGCCGACCUGAGAGGGUGAUCGGCCACAUUGGGACUGAGACACGGCCCAAACUCCUACGGGAGGCAGCAGUAGGGAAUCUUCGGCAAUGGACGAAAGUCUGACCGAGCAACGCCGCGUGAGUGAAGAAGGUUUUCGGAUCGUAAAACUCUGUUGGUAGAGAAGAACGUUGGUGAGAGUGGAAAGCUCAUCAAGUGACGGUAACUACCCAGAAAGGGACGGCUAACUACGUG